rnacentral:piRNA from 1 species
UUCAUGCGCAACUCUUCAUGA